UAUACCGUGAAACUGCGAAUGGCUCAUUAAAUCAGUUAUCGUUUAUUUGAUAGUACCUUACUACUUGGAUAACCGUGGUAAUUCUAGAGCUAAUACAUGCUGAAAACCCCGACUUCGGAAGGGGUGUAUUUAUUAGAUAAAAAACCAAUGCCCUUCGGGGCUCCUUGGUGAUUCAUAAUAACUUCUCAGAUCGCAUGGCCUUGCGCCGGCGACGGUUCAUUCAAAUUUCUGCCCUAUCAACUUUCGAUGGUAAGGUAUUGGCUUACCAUGGUUUCAACGGGUAACGGGGAAUUAGGGUUCGAUUCCGGAGAGGGAGCCUGAGAAACGGCUACCACAUCCAAGGAAGGCAGCAGGCGCGCAAAUUACCCAAUCCCGACACGGGGAGGUAGUGACAAUAAAUACUGAUACAGGGCUCUUUUGGGUCUUGUAAUUGGAAUGAGUACAAUUUAAACCUCUUAACGAGGAACAAUUGGAGGGCAAGUCUGGUGCCAGCAGCCGCGGUAAUUCCAGCUCCAAUAGCGUAUAUUAAAGUUGUUGCAGUUAAAAAGCUCGUAGUUGAACCUUUGGCCUGGCUGGCAGGUCCGCCUCACCGCGUGCACUUGUCCGGCCGGGCCUUCUUUUCUGGAGAACCGCAUGCCCUUCACUGGGUGUGUUGGGGACCAGGACUUUUACUUUGAAAAAAUUAGAGUGUUCAAAGCAGGCCUUUGCUCGAAUACGUUAGCAUGGAAUAAUAGAAUAGGACGUGCGGUCCUAUUUUGUUGGUUUCUAGGACCGCCGUAAUGAUUAAUAGGGACAGUCGGGGGCAUCAGUAUUCAAUUGUCAGAGGUGAAAUUCUUGGAUUUAUUGAAGACUAACUACUGCGAAAGCAUUUGCCAAGGAUGUUUUCAUUAAUCAGUGAACGAAAGUUAGGGGAUCGAAGACGAUCAGAUACCGUCGUAGUCUUAACCAUAAACUAUGCCGACUAGGGAUCGGGCGGUGUUAUUAUUUUGACUCGCUCGGCACCUUACGAGAAAU
rnacentral:rRNA from 2 species